UACGAAGGGGGCUAGCGUUGCUCGGAAUCACUGGGCGUAAGGGGUGCGUAGGCGGGUUUUUAAGUCAGGGGUGAAAUCCUGGAGCUCAACUCCAGAACUGCCUUUGAUACUGAAGAUCUUGAGUUCGGGAGAGGUGAGUGGAACUGCGAGUGUAGAGGUGAAAUUCGUAGAUAUUCGCAAGAACACCAGUGGCGAAGGCGGCUCACUGGCCCGGUACUGACGCUGAGGCGCGAAAGCGUGGGGAGCAAACAGG
rnacentral:rRNA from 1 species